CCCUUAGAUGCCCUGGGCCGCACGCGCGCUACACUGAUGCAUUCAACGAGUUUUACCUUGGCCGAGAGGCCUGGGCAAUCUUUUAAACCUGCAUCGUGAUAGGGAUAGAUUAUUGCAAUUAUUAAUCUUGAACGAGGAAUUCCUAGUAAACGCAAAUCAUCAAUUUGCAUUGAUUACGUCCCUGCCCUUUGUACACACCGCCCGUCGCACCUACCGAUUGAAUGGUCCGGUGAAGCCUCGGGAUUGUGGCCAGUUCACUUUAUUGGGAGUUGGCUGUGAGAACUUGUCUAAACCUUAUCAUUUAGAGGAAGGUGAAGUCGUAACA
rnacentral:rRNA from 1 species